UAGGGAAUCUUCGGCAAUGGACGAAAGUCUGACCGAGCAACGCCGCGUGAGUGAAGAAGGUUUUCGGAUCGUAAAACUCUGUUGCCCGAGAAGAACAAGGACGUUAGUAACUGAACGUCCCCUGACGGUAUCUAACCAGAAAGCCACGGCUAACUACGUGCCAGCAGCCGCGGUAAUACGUAGGUGGCAAGCGUUGUCCGGAUUUAUUGGGCGUAAAGCGAGCGCAGGCGGUUUCUUAAGUCUGAUGUGAAAGCCCCCGGCUCAACCGGGGAGGGUCAUUGGAAACGGGGAGACUUGAGUGCAGAAGAGGAGAGUGGAAUUCCAUGUGUAGCGGUGAAAUGCGUAGAUAUAUGGAGGAACACCAGUGGCGAAGGCGGCUCUCUGGUCUAUAACUGACGCUGAGGCUCGAAAGCGUGGGGAGCAAACAGG
rnacentral:rRNA from 1 species